AUGAAUGCCAGUUCGCCCCAUAUUUCUCGUAGCUGCGCCGGUGCUCUCCGGCAUCUGACGCGCAUCACGACGGUAUCAGCCGAGCCGCAUGUCCCUGUCCACGGGGCAGCGGCUUUUUUU
rnacentral:ncRNA from 1 species